CAUCAAUCAGACGACACAAGGCAGUCACAUGACGAGACACGUAGCUUUCGCGAGCCAAUCAAAAUGACUCAUUUUGGGGGUGGAAAACAGCCGCACGACUGUGUUUUUUUUUUUACAGACUCCAAAAAACAACAGCUUUAUCAUGCAGCUCUUAACUGGUGACUGCCCAAACUUGGAUAUUUCAGCCCAAUUCUAAUUGGAGAAAACACCUUGCGAUGGACGCGCUGUUAGACCAGUGAAAAACAUUGCCAAAAACGACAAAGGAGCAUCUGGUCGCAGCAAGCUGACCAAUGAUGCUACGCUAACCCACACAGACACAAGAAGGACUGUCGACAACACUACAACUGGCUUGGUGACUCAAGCGCAACAGGGUGACACUGUGAUGCUAUGCUAACUAGUAGCACUAUGCUAACUGGAGACAAAAAUAAUGCCAACUGCAUAUUCUGUGCCAGCAGGUGGCACAAUGCUAAUCGGUGUUUCAAUGUCAACUGCUGACUCUGUCCUAACUAGUUGCUCUACUCAGACUGAUGAUGCUAGGCUAACGGUCAGCUCUCUGCUAACCGGUGGGUCCACACUAACCGAUGACACUAUGUCAGUGCUAACAGGUGAUGACUCUGAGUUAACGAAUGACUCUGUGCUGCGUUAUUGGGAAUCCCACUCAGGUUCUAGACAGGACACGCCCCACUAUAAGAUGAUUGGCUCCUGCAUCACAGGAAGGACAGACUAUGAUGAUAUAACAAGAUGACCUUUCCAAAUAUGUAUCACAUUUGUACAAAAUUAAAAAAAACAAAGUUUGUUAUGGUUAGGUUGGACUACGAUGCGUUAGGGUUAGGAUUAGGGUGGGUUACCAUUAGUAGUAAUUUAAAUAAACGCCACCAUACUGAAGUCACAUACUUCUUUUCCCAUCUGUAAGCAGUAGGGCAUGUCCUACCGGGAUACAACAGCUAAUCAUAUCGCGGCGGCGAGUGUCCUGCAGCCAAUCAUAUUGGAGCAGGGCGUGUCUUGCAGCCAAUCAUAUUGGAGCAGGGCGUAUCAUGCCUAGACCACGAGUCGGAUUCCUAAUAACGCCUAUGUGCUAAUGGGGUGGCGCUAUGCUAACUUGUAAAGCCAUGCUAACAAUAUUACUAUGCUAACAGGUCACAAAUGAAUGCCAACUGCUGACACUUUGAUAGCUGGUGGCACAAUGCUAAUCAGUGACUCAUGGCCAACUUAUGAAUUUGUCCUAACUGGGUGGCAAUAUGCUAGCUCGUGAUGCUAUGCUAACCCACACAGACCCAAAAAAAAGACAUUGCAUUUCUUUGGCAACUGGAGGCUAAAAACAUUGCUCUGCUAACCAGUAAAUUUGUGCUAAUAGAUGGCUAACAGCUACAACUAUGCUCGAGCUACGAGGUUUGUUCUAUGGCUAAGCGCCAUAAAUAUACCAAGCAGGCUAGCUUAGCAUUAGGAUCAGGUUUUUACUGUACCCACCUCG